rnacentral:rRNA from 1 species
UACGUAGGGGGCAAGCGUUGUCCGGAUUCAUUGGGCGUAAAGAGCGUGUAGGCGGCCUGGAAGGUCAGCUGUGAAAACUCGAGGCUCAACCUCGAGACGUCGGUUGAAACCACCUGGCUAGAGUCCGGAAGAGGAGUGUGGAAUUCCCGGUGUAGCGGUGGAAUGCGCAGAUAUCGGGAGGAACACCGAUGGCGAAGGCAGUGGGCUGGGCCGGCACUGACGCUGAGGAGCGAAAGCGUGGGGAGCGAACAGG